UUUGGUUAAGUUAGAAAGGGCGCACGGUGGAUGCCUUGACACUAGGAGUCGAUGAAGGACGGGACUAACGCCGAUAUGCUUCGGGGAGCUGUAAGUAAGCUUUGAUCCGAAGAUUUCCGAAUGGGGAAACCCACCAUACGUAAUGGUAUGGUAUCCUUAUCUGAAUACAUAGGGUAAGGAAGACAGACCCAGGGAACUGAAACAUCUAAGUACCUGGAGGAAGAGAAAGCAAAUGCGAUUUCCUGAGUAGCGGCGAGCGAAACGGAACAUAGCCCAAACCAAGAGGCUUGUCUCUUGGGGUUGUAGGACAUUCUAUACGGAGUUACAAAGGAACGAGGUAGACGAAGCGACCUGGAAAGGUCCGUCGUAGAGGGUAACAACCCCGUAGUCGAAACUUCGUUCUCUCUUGAAUGUAUCCUGAGUACGGCGGAACACGUGAAAUUCCGUCGGAAUCUGGGAGGACCAUCUCCCAAGGCUAAAUACUCCCUAGUGAUCGAUAGUGAACCAGUACCGUGAGGGAAAGGUGAAAAGCACCCCGGAAGGGGAGUGAAAGAGAUCCUGAAACCGUGUGCCUACAAAUAGUCAGAGCCCGUUAACGGGUGAUGGCGUGCCUUUUGUAGAAUGAACCGGCGAGUUACGAUCCCGUGCGAGGUUAAGCUGAAGAGGCGGAGCCGCAGCGAAAGCGAGUCUGAAUAGGGC
rnacentral:rRNA from 1 species